AUGGCCGUUCGAUCAUACAAGAUCACACUUGAACACCUUUGAUCACCAUUCGAUCGUGACCACGUGACUUCCUGACUGUCGGAUCGUGCAAUCUUCGGACCUCCACGUCGUUGUGUGCUGCGUUUUGGACUUCUCCAUUUUGGAUUUUUCUCCGAUGAAUCAAAUUUGAGAUGUCAAAAUUUCAAAAUAAAAAUAGAGAACUAGUAUCCACAAUUAUGAGAAUUGUGGAUAGUGAGUUACAAAUGUUAAUUAUAUGAUAUUAGCCCAUGUGCUAGUAAUUAAAGAAAAUCAUCCAAGAUGUUCGAAGACUUCUUUAUGACAAACCUUCCUUCUAUCACGGUCUAAUGGUCUGAAGCUUCAUCUCUCAUCAUCAGUAUGGUCCGGAUCUCAGGAUCGGCAUGUGUCUGAAUUAAAGAUCGGAUUGUAGCUGAUGUCAAGAAGUUAUUUUAAUAGGAUAGUUUAGUUGUCCAAUCUUUUGUUCUCUAUAUUUGAGGAGGCCCUUUGGUUUUGUUGAAGUUGUUGGUAUGGGAUCUGAGGUGAGUGUUCGUUCAUGAUCUAAAGAAGGGAAAGUUGAGAUUGGAUGGUUGAUCCUCUACCACAAUUGGUACAAGGCCACUAGUUUUUUCAUUUAAAAAGAAUUGAAAUCAGCCAUCAUUUGCCAAUUGUCAAUUGCAUGGGAGAACUGUUGU
rnacentral:lncRNA from 1 species